CCACUGUUACUGGCGGCAAAGUGAUCAAAGUGGGGUGGCUGGCUGAGGCUGCUCUGGGAAAUGGCCACCCAGAGCAUUUCUCUCCGCCCUGUCUCCAGAAACCGCCCUUCCUCUCUGUGCCGGUGGUUAGCUGAACUGUAGCACAUAACCACACAUCCUGAAAUGAUUUACUCCUCUACUUCCCCCACUUCAAAUCAGGAAGUGGGGUUUAGUGUUCUGUGUUCACAGCCUAGCAGAGUCACUGCUAGGAGGAUCUGAGUGAGAAGAACAUUUCUGGGUUGUCUUUUGAAAAAAACGAAUGCAGAAUUGUCCAGCCUACAGGAGCCCAGGCUGCAGUCUUUCUUUCUGCUGACGGGAUGCCGAAAGGAAAGACGGCCAAGGGGAAGAAGGUGGCUCCGGCCCCUGCUGUCGUGAAAAAGCAGGAGGCUAAGAAAGUGGUGAAUCCCCUGUUUGAAAAACGGCCUUAAAAUUUUGGUAUUGGACAGGACAUCCAGCCCAAAAGAGACCUCACCCGCUUUGUCAAAUUGCCCCGCUAUAUCAGGUUGCAGCGGCAGAGAGCCAUCCUCUACAAGUGGCUGAAAGUGCCUCCUGCAAUUAACCAGUUCACCCAGGCCCUGGGCCGCCAAACAGCUACUCAGCUGCUUAAGCUGGCCCACAAGUAUAAACCAGAGACAAAGCAAGAGAAGAAGCAGAGGCUGUUGGCCCGGGCCGAGAAGAAAGCGGCUGGCAAAGGGGACGUCCCCACUAAGAGACCACCUGUCCUUCGAGCAGGAGUCAACACCAUCACCACCUUGGUGGAGAACAAGAAAGCUCAGCUGGUGGUGAUUGCACACGACGUGGAUCCCAUUGAGCUGGUUGUCUUCUUGCCUGCCCUGUGUCGAAAAAUGGGAGUCCCUUACUGCAUUAUCAAGGGGAAGGCAAGACUGGGACGUCUAGUCCACAGGAAGACCUGCACUACGGUAGCCUUCACACAGGUUAACGCGGAAGACAAAGGUGCUUUGGCUAAACUGGUGGAAGCCAUCUGCACCAAUUACAACGACAGAUACGAUGAGAUCUCCUGUCACUGGGGAGGCAAUGUCCUGGGUCCCAAGUCUGUGGCUCGCAUCGCAAAGCUAGAGAAGGCAAAAGCUAAAGAGCUUGCCACGAAACUGGGUUAAAUUUACACUGUUCUCUGUAAAUAAAAAUAAAACAAUGAAAAUUUUCCUUCAAAAAAAAAAAAUAGGCUGCAGGCAGUAAGGGGUGAGGGUGUGUCAGCCUGAGUGAAAGAGCAGGAUGUGAGUGGACCCAGUCCUUUCAAGCUGCCAUGGAUCCCAGGAAAACGCCAUGGAAUCACUUUAACAGCAAGUUCUGCUUCCUUAGCUUCCCAGACCUGGUGCCUGAGAGUGACUCUAAACAUUUUCUGUGGGGGUGGGCUUGGUUAGGAAAAGCUCACUCCAUGGGAAUGGUCACUGCUUUCAAGAGCACCAUGGCCAUAUCCAAAGCCAACUGACUGAGUGAAUGAGAAACCCCAGUGAGUUCUGCUGCUUCUGCUGUCUGACUGGUACAAAGCGGGAUGUAAAAUAUUCAAAUUCCAGGGAUACAGCCAACUGUGCAAAUUCCUGACGGGCAAAUUGAGGCCAUUAUCUGUAAUUACAGUCGCCUGAAUUCCAUGCCAGCAAGACCCUGUUUUCCAGCAGUCAGCGAUAGCAGCUGCUGCCCUGGUGCCAAAUGCAUCCAGGGAAAGUCCCAGGAGUGCAGAUGAACAGCCCUCACAGGGUAUUCCUGACACCCUCUGACAAAAAUACCAAAUCUCACUUAAAACCUGAAGACAGCGCCUAUGGCUCUCAGGAUUAACUCUUUGGUUAGGCUUGUCAUCAUUUGGGAUAUCACCAUCUUGAACCUCUUUUCCCCAACAAUCUUCCCUUAACCCCAACUGAAUUGCUUGUUUAUAAUGAAUGACCUGAUCCCUGAUUCCAUCCUAUUGACCCUCAUUAAGGUGCUUCCUUAUGUGUGAUUUAGUCCUUGGGCCAGGGAUGACCUCAUCACUAACUCCCACUCAUCCUUAAAAACUUAGCUCACACCUCCUUCUCUGGACAUCCUCAGGCUGGAUUUGAUUUCUUUUCUCUUGGGCUCCCAUUGUGCCUGUGCUCACACAACACAGCACUGUCAUUCUUUGAUUUGUCUCCUCUGGUAGACUGCAAGCUCCCUG